rnacentral:rRNA from 1 species
ACCUUCGGGCCUCUUGCCAUCAGAUGUGCCCAGAUGGGAUUAGCUUGUUGGUGAGGUAACGGCUCACCAAGGCGACGAUCCCUAGCUGGUCUGAGAGGAUGACCAGCCACACUGGAACUGAGACACGGUCCAGACUCCUACGGGAGGCAGCAGUGGGGAAUAUUGCACAAUGGGCGCAAGCCUGAUGCAGCCAUGCCGCGUGUAUGAAGAAGGCCUUCGGGUUGUAAAGUACUUUCAGCGGGGAGGAAGGUGUUGUGGUUAAUAACCGCAGCAAUUGACGUUACCCGCAGAAGAAGCACCGGCUAACUCCGUGCCAGCAGCCGCGGUAAUACGGAGGGUGCAAGCGUUAAUCGGAAUUACUGGGCGUAAAGCGCACGCAGGCGGUCUGUCAAGUCGGAUGUGAAAUCCCCGGGCUCAACCUGGGAACUGCAUUCGAAACUGGCA